AUGGUCAAUGAGAUAAUGAGCUGUCUGCAAAAGCUCAUUCCAAACUAAAGGACAGAUGCAUGCUACAACCAAGCAGAUUCUUCAACAUGGAAGCUGCAAAACAAUCGGUAUUUUUUCCACGAGGUAUUUGGCCUUAAUUUGUAUGCACAUUGAAUGAGGUAUUGUUCCUUGUUAUUGGAUGAGCACCCAACUGUCAAUAAAGAAAAUGCACUGUACUAAAGUUGUGUAUUUUCUACUGAUGUGCGACAGAUCAUACGAAAUAAGCUUGCUAUUUUAAAGGAUGGAGGAAUUCAAUCGCUGGAUUACUGUACUCUAGGUGGAUAUAUUAAUGAGAUUGUUGAUAUGACUUUGUUCUUUAUUUGAUUUUCAUGUUCUAAGGUAGAUGAGGUCACUUGUAAUAUUCAUAUAUGCAAAAUAGCAAUUUUUAACCAAUCCGAUCAUUUUUUUCUACGGAGUUUUACCACAAACUUUCUCAUAUUUACACAUGAAUGUGAUAAUUUUCUUGAUUGUUUUCUUGCGCCGUCAGUUUAUCUUUUCACUUGCCAGUACUGUAUUAUAACUCUUUAUCAAACUUUUUAAGCCAUUCACAUGUUUUCACUAUGCAAUUCAUGCUUGUUCUCACUCUGAAGUUGACAAUGUGCAGUAUUAGAGUGUUGGUCUGCUCCUUUUAGUUUUUAUGUAACUAUUUGAAAUAUUCUUAUAUUGUGAUGCGACACUAUGUAAAGUUACCUGAAAUCAAGUGUGUCAUCGGUUUUAUCCAUGCUACUAAGAAAACUGCUUUUACUCUGACGUACUCAUUGGCUAUCAACUUUUAUGAUCUGCAUUUUACUUUUUUUCUUCAAAUUUAUUUAUGUGUCUGAGUAUGCAGGUAGCCUUUGGUGUUUUCAAGAUAGAUAUCUAAAAAAAGUGUUGUGUCUUGAAGUAGUAAGGCUGCAAGAUGCACCAUUUAGUAGUUGGGAGUUGGUGAGAUAUUUCCUUCUCAAUGCACAUCUGACAAUGUAUUGAAGUGGUACAGACGGUCCUCUCAUAUCCAUUAGACCCAAAAUAAAAACCAGUCCUCUCCUACAUCUGCACUAUUUAGCUCUUUUGUACUACCAUUCAAUAUAUAGGUUAGUUCAUCUAAAAAUCUAUUUAGGUCAGUUAAUGUAUAUCCCAUGUUUUAUGCCUCCAUAUAUAGUUUGCCAGUGUGUAGGUACAAAUUAGUGACCAGGGAACACUGCUGCUCCAACCUACCAGCGAACACUACUGCUCCAACCUUGUGUCCAAGUUAUCUAUGAACUGGAGCUACAACAUGUACAAGAUUGAUUGAACCCUAUUGCUAAAGUUGAAGUUGGAGAGAAAGCUCGGAUUUCAUUAUGUAUAUUUGUGUUUUGGUACGUGCCAAAGCGGUAUUAACAAUACUCAUUUUUUCAGAAGUUACCCAUUUAUCCUAAAUUGUUUUGACAAAGAGAUAGUGUAACCUGUCUAUCUCUUGUUUUAAGCUACCUGCAAAGAGUAAGCUUUGUUGUUGUACUUAAUUCUGCGGUCUUUGUUCUAGCUUUUAAGAAGUUACUAUUUAACAUAUUUAUUGUAUGUAAUCCUGGUUUGGCAUACAUGGUAAAUUUAAAUGUGCAAGACUGCAAGUUUACUCUAUGUUUUUAAUAAAUAGUUAGUUGAUCUCACUAUUUAUCAUUUGCUGGUGUUUUUUUUGUUUCAUUAAUUUUCAUGUUUGCGUACUAAAAGGGAACCUUGCCAUGUGAGAAUAUGAUGUCGUAGGCAAACUCUGGUGAGGCAUGCAUGCUGAUUCAUACAGAGAUGAUCCCUUUAUAAUUUGAUAUGCCAGAUUGUUUGUUAUUUUCCUUCGCUCCUUCCAUCAUAUUAUUGUGUGUCGCACUUUACACAAUUGGCCUCUUUAUAAAUGAGAUCCUGUUUAGGGAACAUGAACAUUAGGAUAGAUUUCUCUACAUUACACUAUGUUAGCAAAAGAGCUGUGACAACCAGAUUGUAGACUGUAUUUGUUUUCUUGAAGUUAGAUAUCUUGCUAGCAAAAGAGAUGUGAUAACCAGGUUCUAUGAUUCAUUCUUCAGGUUUUCUUAGAAUUUAUGUUGGCUACAUGAAUUAGAUCACUUCUGGUAUUGUUGGUUCUUUUUGUGCAGGACUAUUGGUGUAGGAAUAACUCUGCAUAGAGAUGGAGGUUGAAGAAAAAAAUACAGAGGGAAAUGAUUGUCUUAUAUGAACCAAAAAAGAACAGUGGGAUAAGGGUUUUUAGAGUUCAUAUGAGAUAGCGACAGAUGUAGCUGAGUAUGCAUCUCAAGUUUCAGAAGUCUCUCAGAGAUUGAAGAUUUCGCUAUUGAGCUAUGAAUUUUCAACACAAGGCGCACACCAUUGUAUCUCAUCAUUGUCGUCUCAUUUAUGAAUGGUAAAUCCUAAAGCCCUGACAAGACCCUGGGCUGGUUUUACUUGCAUAUCGUUUAGUCCAAUGAACGUGCUGUAGCAAAUUACUGCACAGAUAGUAUAUAUAAGUUAACAAAAGAAGGAUCUAUAUCCAUGGCCUGUGAACUUUGUGAGCAAAAUUCACAGAAACUUCUAGAACAAAACUAUAGUGUAUUUACAAGCUUUUUUUUCUUAUGUUUUGCACAUUUUAGUUUAUGACUUUAUGUAAAGAUGGAUUUCAAAACUUUGAUUCUCAUGAGACACAUAUUCGCGCGUGCUUAUAAUUGUGGUCAUUGGACCUUUGUUUUCCCCUUCCGUGAUAUGUUCAACAUUUAUGAGCCAAUAUGACUCACAUCUAUAUCUACUCACAAUAUUUUCAAAUAUACUAAUUUGAUCUUAUGGGUGGGCGCAGCAACGCGCGCUUUUAUGAUCUAGUUCUAUAUAUAGCACACCUCUACCAGCAGGUCUGGUUGUAUUCGCCUAUCUCGUUUGCCCUCCUUUCAUCUCUAUCCUCUUCAGUGAGAGAGCAAGCAACCGGCCGACCGGCUGGUCUCUCCUCUUCCGCUAAAUAUUGCACGUGGAGAAUCUCGGUGCGGAGCAGCAGGCCGGUGCGACUGAGGUUGAGGCGUCGGCAGCGUCAUCAGCCUCUCCUCUUUUGCUAGAUCUUCCACAUGCAUGGUGUGGUGCACCGCCAGCCGAGAAGCAGACACCGGUCAGCCCGAGGUGGAGACGUCGCUGACGUCCUCGAGGUGCGGCCGCCCUUCUGCGACCCAGCGUCGACUCAAGAUAUGCAUAGACGACUAGGGAUGUAACUACGCCACGAAGUCAGCUCUACCCCAUUGGUGUUGUGAUGCUUGGGAACACUGCACAAAACACAUUUCUCUUGUUAAAAGUGUUUCGUGCAGUGUGACUGAAGUUUCACAACGCCGAUGAGAUUAAAAUCCAGUGACACUGCACGAAAGAAAAACCUCAAAGUGCGGCCAUGGCGGUUCCAACAUUUUACGAGUAUAUGACUUCCAUAACCUGGCUCACACGAGGAGAUUAUCUUUGUGGGUGUGCUGAGUUGUUAGGCAUAAGCCGAAAUCAGCUUAACGAUGCCUCGGCUUAACACAUAAAAAGCUGUUCGACCUCUCCCACAAUUUCCUUUUGCUUUUCUCUUCUUUUAUUGGAACUUGUUUUGCUUGCAGACGAGUGAGGUAACAAGUGUACUAUCUAAGAUUUUGUGUAUUAUAGAUGCCCCAAUUGACUCUCAUCCCCAAUGUAAUCUUUUUUAUGAAUGUUGUUUUAGACUUGGAUGUAUACUAUCGUAUAUGGCAUGCAUCUGCCUAAGGAACUUUGUAUAGCCGUUCU